AGAACGAACGCUGGCGGCGUGGAUAAGACAUGCAAGUCGAACGCGAUUUAUCCGGUUAGCAAUAACUGGGUAGAUUGAGUGGCGAAAGGGUGCGUAACACGUGGGAAUUUACCAAGAAGUGGGGAAUAGCUCGGCGAAAGCCGAAUUAAUACCGCAUAUGAUCGCAAGAUCAAAGUCGGGGACCGCAAGGCCUGACGCUUUUUGAGAAGCCCGCGGCCCAUCAGCUAGUUGGUGAGGUAAUGGCUCACCAAGGCUAUGACGGGUAGCUGGUCUGAGAGGACGACCAGCCACACUGGAACUGAGACACGGUCCAGACACCUACGGGUGGCAGCAGUCGAGAAUUUUUUCACAAUGGGGGAAACCCUGAUGGAGCGACGCCGCGUGGAGGAUGAAGGUUCUUGGAUUGUAAACUCCUGUCACUGCAGACAGGAUGCGCUGGUUAAUAGCGAGCGUA
rnacentral:rRNA from 1 species